CCAAAACGACAGAGGCUCCGCUGUCAAGAUUCUUCUCUUUCUUUCUUUCUGUCUCUCUCCUCUCUCCUCCACUUUUCUCACCCCUUAUCUCUCCCUAAUUCCUGAAAUUUUCCCGAGAAACAAACACCCUGGUUCACAUGGUUUUAGUGGUUGAGAUGCUUUUUUCAGUGCUUUGAUUGUUGGGUAUUUUUUUGGGUUGUUUGCGGGUUUUGGUUUCAUGGGGUGUACGACUUCUAAGAUUGAUGAUCUCCCGGCGGUGGCGCUUUGCCGAGAGAGAUGUGCUUGCUUGGAUGACGCGAUACAGCAAAGGUACACUUUUGCGGCGUAUCAUGUGGCGUAUAUGAAGAGCUUGCAGGUGAUUGGAGGGUCAUUGCAGGAAUUUUUUGACCUGGAUCUUGAUGGGUCAGCAGUGUCGCCGGUGCUGCCGCUGCCGGUUCAGAAAAAAGGAGAUCAUGAGGUUCAGAGGGAAAUCAAACUCAAGGCUGAGCCCUCGGGCUUGUCGCCGGCGGCGGCUGCGUUGAACGACCGUUCGAAUUCGAAUUCCGGGUCGCAUCUAAACUUUCACUCGGAUUCGGACGACGAAGAUGGUAGCAUGGAAUCCCUCCACCAUUCCGAACACUAUUCGCCUCGUCAUGGCUAUCAGGACCAUCUCGGUUACGAUGAGGAAGCCCUAAGUUCAUUUCCGAGAGGGUUCAUGAAUGUGAACAUGAAUUUCAUGAAAAAUCAGGCCACACAGUCGGUGACGUACCAGCACCGGCCGGCGAGUCCUGAAAAGAUGCACAUGGGCGAAGCUUCGUACUACCCAUAUGCCUAUCCGAACAAUAAUCCUAGUUCUUACCCCUACGGUUAUGGUGGUGGAAAUUACGGCUACUAUGGCCAGCAGCCGCAGCAGCCGUAUGGGGCUUCAUCGCCCGCUAUGGCAACGGGGGCGUCAUCUUCGAAACCGCCUCCACCACCGCCAUCACCGCCUAGCAGCUCGGCUUGGGACUUCUUUAACCCUUUCGAGAGUUAUGAUAAAUACUAUCCUCCAUAUACCCCUAGUAGAGACUCGAAAGAUUUGAGAGAGGAGGAGGGUAUUCCUGAUUUGGAAGAUGAGGAUUAUCUGCAUGAAGUUGUGAAGGAAAUUCACGGAAAUCAGAAGUUUGUGGAUGGCGGUGGAGGUGGUGGCAAUUACGCAAAGAUGAUGGAGAAUCAGAGCGAGAAGGUGGAUAAUAUGGAUGCCCAUUAUCAGAGACAGAGUGUUUCAGCGGAUAACGACAGAGUGGAGUAUGAAGUGCAUAUGUUGGAGAAGAAGGUGGUUGAUAGUGAGGAGAAGGCCGGAGAUCGGGGUAAUGUGGCUGCAUUCAAAGCUCGUGGCGGGCCUCGGGGUAUGUACGAGGUGGUGAGGGAAAUUCAGGUUCAGUUUGUGAGAGCUUCAGAGUGUGGAAAUGAGCUUGCCAAAAUGCUGGAGGUGGGAAAGCACCCAUACCACCCAAAAAAUCAAGGUAAAAUUUUUCCCACAGAGCUUCUGAUAUUCCAUGUCUUUCUCUCCUUUCGAGUUCUUAUUUCUCUUUGUUUUUAUUAUUUGUUAGAUUGCUUCAUCUGUGAUAAUUUCAUGGCUAAGUGAGUCUGAAGCAUUUGAUUGUAGUUAUAUGGAUCUGGGUUCACUUGAAUGUAAUCGAAAAUGUUCAAUAACUGGAUCAUCAUGCCCCUGAUUUUCAAUUUUAUGGUUCUUUGAAAGCAGUUUCUUCGAAGAUGUUGCAUGCCAUUUCUCCUUCGGUAGCCGCUUUAGUAUCCUCACAGCCUGCUACUUCCAAAAAUGCCGAGUCCUCGGCUUCCGGUGAGAAGGCUGAUCCUAUGGAGUUGGAAUUUGAUGGAGGUGCCGGGAUGAGAUCAGGAAAUCUCUCUUCUACCUUACAAAAGCUGCAUCUUUGGGAGAAGAAACUCUAUGAUGAAGUCAAGGUAUGCUUUUUCUUUUUCCCCCUUUUCUUUUUCAUCUCCUUUUUUUUUUUUUUUUUUUUUUUUCUAAUUUUUCUGCAUAAUCAAUCUUGGUUUAGACUUUAAUUUAUGUAGUUUUGGAUUUUUAGUUCAAAUGGAAAUUUUCUUUAGCUGAACUAUAUGGUACAUGUCUACGUCAUCCUAUAUACACCCACUUCUGGAAUCAUGUGGUGGUGACAAUUAACUGCAAUCUUGUUUCAUGAUUUCUCCUUUAUCAUCCACCAUUAUGUUAGGAUGCUUAUCCUUGUCAGCAGUUGGCGUGUUUGGACGUUUGUUCCCCUGUCAGAUGUGUCAGAAACCAUUUUGGACAUUUGUAAAUAAGUGCACGUCUUUCUAAUCAAAACAAAACACGUGGAGUAGAAUGCUCUUGUAUUUUGAAUUUUAUUUUGUCGAAGAGGAAAAAAAAAACCGGCGCCUGCAAAUUUGCUAUGUGGCUGAUAUGUUAUAACUUGAUUAUCAAAGACAAUUCAUAAUUAUCCUUUCCACAUGAGCACGCUGAAACAAGCUAGAAUUCUGUGUCCUUGCAUGUUCCCAUUUGGUGCAUUCUCAUGCACUUGACAUAUAUAUAAAUGUAUCCUUAUUUCGAGAUUUUGUGGAGUUGCUUUAUCUGACAGCAUAUUCUGUUUUCUGGCACAAAUUGUGUCCAUUCUAAUGUUUAAUGUCUCCAUUGGUCAUAAUUCUUAUGUAGACAAGCUUUCUUAUGGAUUCCAUAUCAUUGACAUGCAUUCUAUAUUUUGGACAGAAGAAUGUAGACAAUUUCUUGAAACUCAUGGCCAUGGAGGGAUGUGAAGGCAACUAUUUGUUUUCACACUUCACCCAUCAAUCUUGCUUUCCAGAAAUCGUUCCAGUUUUCCAUCUUAAAGCUUGCUUGUCCCUUUUAAAGCAAAGAGCAAUUAUUUGACUUAAAAAACAAAAAGAAAAAGAAAAAAUAAAGGAAAAAAAGAGGGGAGGGGGUAGUCUUAUUCAACCAUUUGGGAUUGGGUGCAGUAUAAUUUUUCAAUUUUCUUCCUUAGUGCUAUAUUUUUUAGUCAAUAUUUCUGCCAUAAGAUUGACAAAUUUCAAUGUUUUCGUUAAUUAUAGUUUAACAAAAUGUUCUAAUGUUUUAUUUCUUUUGGUAUAUUUAUGAAACCAAGAAAGUUGAUUGUAUUGGAACUUGUAGAACAUUUAGUGGUGAUCUGAUAUUAUAUCUUUUGGCAAUGUGUGGGUGCAGGGAUUGUGUGUUGUAUUUGCUGCAUGUGUAUAUAUGUGCACCUUAAAAUAUAGCUACACAAACCACAGAUAGAUAACUGCCACCAGAACAUUACAUAAUCAUCAUGGUAUUGGCUAAGAUCUGUGGAAUUAAGGUGCAUGAACAGAGUGGUGACUGUUGACUAGAUUCUCAGGAAAGUAGACGUGAGGAAGUAUUUGCUAAUGCGAUCAAAUUCCAUAUUUUAAUUUGUAAGGUCAUUAAUCACUUAGUCAAAGCUAAGGCACUCGAGGAUGUCCAAUAGGAAAGAAACCAUUCUUUAAAAGCAAGUCUCGAUAUUUUCAUUUUCAGAAUUUGCUCAACCCAUCACUAUUUUGUUUUGGUUUUUUUUUCUUUUUUCUUUUUUCCUCCCUGUCCUUUGGCAAAAUUCUUCUAUUUCUGUCCAAAGCAAGAGAUUAAGGGCCACAUAUAUUUUGAACUUGUGGAAACUCUCUCCAAUAGCAAAGCUAAAAGAAUAAUUUAAAGGAUCUAACUCCAAAGAGAUAUGGUUAUAGAUACUCUUCCUUUUUUUCCCUUGCCCCUCUGAA
rnacentral:lncRNA from 1 species